UACGUAGGGUGCAAGCGUUAAUCGGAAUUACUGGGCGUAAAGCGUGCGCAGGCGGUUGUGCAAGACAGAUGUGAAAUCCCCGGGCUCAACCUGGGAACUGCAUUUGUGACUGCACGGCUGGAGUGCGGCAGAGGGGGAUGGAAUUCCACGUGUAGCAGUGAAAUGCGUAGAGAUGUGGAGGAACACCGAUGGCGAAGGCAGCCCCCUGGGCUGAGAUUGACGCUCAGGCACGAAAGCGUGGGGAGCAAACAGG
rnacentral:rRNA from 1 species